UACGUAGGGUGCAAGCGUUAAUCGGAAUUACUGGGCGUAAAGCGUGCGCAGGCGGUUUUGCAAGACAGAUGUGAAAUCCCCGGGCUUAACCUGGGAACUGCAUUUGUGACUGCACGGCUAGAGUGUGUCAGAGGGGGGUAGAAUUCCACGUGUAGCAGUGAAAUGCGUAGAGAUGUGGAGGAAUACCGAUGGCGAAGGCAGCCCCCUGGGAUAACACUGACGCUCAUGCACGAAAGCGUGGGGAGCAAACAGG
rnacentral:rRNA from 1 species